AUGAAUGGAGAGGAAGAAGGCAAAGGACUGGACUCUAGAGAACCUCAACACCUGCUAGGUGCUGUGAAAAGAGGAAUCUCAGAAAAGAAAAUAUCAAUCAAAGGAUUUAUAUGCUCUGACUCAGCCUGAUCUCCAUCAGGAAUGCCUGUGGCCCUGGUCACUGCCUGAGUUGUUGGCCCAAGACAAGGAUCCUCACCUGUCCAGCUGAGCAGUUGGUCUCCAAAUGUAAUGUACCUAUGAACCACUUGGGGAUUUUGGUGUAAGAUGGAUUUUUAUUCUAUAGGUCUGG
rnacentral:lncRNA from 13 species